UACAGAGGGGGCCAGCGUUAUUCGGAAUUAUUGGGCGUAAAGGGCGCGUAGGCGGCCAUGCGUGUCUCCCGUGAAAUCCCUCGGCUCAACCGAGGACGUGCGGAAGAAACUGCAAGGGCUCGAGUCCGGAAGAGGGGGGCGGAAUUCCCAGUGUAGCGGUGAAAUGCGUAGAUAUUCGCAAGAACACCAGUGGCGAAGGCGGCUCACUGGCCCGGUACUGACGCUGAGGUGCGAAAGCGUGGGGAGCAAACAGG
rnacentral:rRNA from 1 species